AAAACGAGUUCGAAUACUUAUGAUCUAAUCACGAUAAUAAUCUACUAAAAUAAAAUUUACUAAGUGUUAAGUUGGACUUUCAUCAGAGUCGUCUUAAUCUAAUAAAUACUUAUCCUCCGCCGCCGUCCUGUCCACGCCGCCCCGGCCUUCCCCGCCGGAGCUCGAGUUCGUCAAGCGCAUCCAGCCCAAGCUGUCUGAGAUCCGUCGGGCCUGCUCGUCGCCGGACUUCAGCAGGAGGGUGCUCGAGAAGUGGAGUCCCAAGGCCACCAUCCGCAUCGAUCUGUCCGCCAUCCGAAACGCUAUCGUCUCAGAGGUGGACGAGGUCGGGGCGGUCCUCGAUGUCGGCAAGGUCAAGGGCCAGAGCUGGAGGAUGGUGCGGUGGAAGGGGGUGGAGGAGGAGGAGCAAGGGAGGGAGUGGGAGCCCAUUCGGAUCCUCAAGACAGGGCUGAAGGAGUUGGAAUAGAAGAGCCAGUCCACGAGCAACGAGCUCGUCGAAAAACUGAAAUCGAGCCUGGGAUCAUUUGUGAAGGAGCGCCAAGAGUCGAAGGAAGUUCCACCAUUGGAUCUACCUAAACUUUUGGCAUAUUUUGUUAAGCAAUCUGGGCCAUUUUUCAAUCAGCUUGGAAUACGGCAAGAUAUAUGUGACAAAAUUGUGGAAGCUUUAUGCAGUAGGCGCAAAGAUCAACUCAUGUAUCAUUCUCUUUCUGCAAAGGACACAUCCUUACCUGGAAAUGAGAACAGUGAUGAACUUGAUUUGAGAAUAGCCAGUGUGCUCGAAAGCAUGACCUUGGUGAACAAAAUGGUAAAGCUGCGAGUUAUCGGUGCCUUUAAAAUGUGCCCUAUUGAGAUCCCCACAUUUAGCUCCUAUGAGAGCUUAGUUAUUAGAGUAGAGAUAUGGACAUCUUGGACUAGUUAUUAGCAAAUGUUUUCUUUAACCUCCAAUACCAGUUUAGCUAUUUUUAGACUCAUCACCUAUCCAUAAAACCUCUCUUAAUAUUAUAGACUACAGGAACUCUCAACCGAGAUGGUGAAGGAUUUGCCUUUGUUGAACAAUUUAUGUUUUCUCUAGAGAUUCACUUUUCAA